AUUGAUAAAUAAACAAAUCCUGUUGCUGCUCACCAAGAGGACUGCUUAACAGAUUUACCCAUGUGAGAGGUGGCUCGCUUACAAGUUAAUGCCCACGCACCCAAAGGGCCAGCUCCUGCAUUUUUUCACUUCACCGAUGCCAAAGCCACUUUGCCCACCUUUGCAGCAGACGCAGGGAAUUAACUAUCUCAAGAAGUGGCCCUUAGUUAUUAACUGAUGGCAGCUGGUCCCAGGGUAUCCAAGAAGCUGUCAUCCAGGUCUUCUCCAAUGAAGCUACAACAACCCACAGAGCCAGCAGGGGAACCUACACCUUCGAUGUCAUAUAUGAGCAAACAGUCAUUAGAUGGGCGUCCUUCAUCUUCAUCUGCAUGGACUUAUUUAUAAUUGUGUACUUUGGACAUAAAACCAUACACAAAAAAAUCACAUGAAUUGGUUUCGAGGAGGAGCCAAGAUGGCCGAAUAGGAACAGCUCUGGUCUACAGCUCCCAGCGUGAGCGACGCAGAAGACGGGUGAUUUCUGCAUUUCCAUCUGAGAUGGAGUGAAUAUGAUGAUUCUGUGAAGGUUUAUUGCAACAUGACUUUUUCAGCACAGCAACAGGAAAAUUUGACUCUGGGUCUGUUCUACAAAAUUAAAGCUUUCUCAGCACAAAAAACAGCAUAGACUGUGAGUGAUGGCGGCCAUCUUGGUUCAUGUGUAAAGACUGAAUUUCAGUGACUACCAACGGCUAUUUCUUAGAAUGUGGCACUUACCCUGGGUUCAGGCUGUGGUCCUUCUACUGCCCAUGAAUGAAUUGCUCCAUCUGAACAUUCGGGAACAGGCUCAAAGCCAGCUGCACUACGAGGAGCACCUCCACAAUCACAACAGAUCAUCAAAAAUGGGACCACUGGUGGUGGAGGGAUAGUAAUACUAGAGUUAGCACUGGGUGCAAAUAAAAAACAAAACAACCUGAUUUUUUAUGGUUAAAU
rnacentral:lncRNA from 1 species